rnacentral:rRNA from 1 species
AGAACGAACGCUGGCGGCAGGCCUCAAACAUGCAAGUCUAGGGGGCGUAGCAAUACGUCACCGGCGGACGGGUGCGUAACACGUGGGAAUGUACUUACUGGUUCGGAACAACUCAGGGAAACUUGAGCUAAUACCGAAUGUGCCCGAAAGGGGAAAGAUUUAUCGCCAGUAAAUCAGCCCGCGUCCGAUUAGCUAGUUGGCGGGGUAAAGGCCCACCAAGGCGACGAUCGGUAGCUGUUCUGAGAGGAAGAUCAGCCACACUGGGACUGAGACACGGCCCAGACUCCUACGGGAGGCAGCAGUUGGGAAUCUUGGACAAUGGGGGAAACCCUGAUCCAGCCAUGCCGCGUGAGUGAUGAAGGCCUUCGGGUUGUAAAACUCUUUCGACGGGGACGAUAAUGACGGUACCCGUAGAAGAAGCUCCGGCUAACUUCGUGCCAGCAGGCCGC